rnacentral:misc_RNA from 1 species
AUGAAUGGCCAUUGAUGGCCUUCGACCCUCAAAACCGUGGAGGCAGAAUGUGCUUCGGCGCUCCGGCGCCGCCUUUAUGCUUGUAGAGUCUGUGUCUGAACCCAAAACAUAGUCUA